AUUGAACGCUGGCGGCAUGCUUUACACAUGCAAGUCGAACGGCAGCGCGGGCUUCGGCCUGGCGGCGAGUGGCGAACGGGUGAGUAAUGCAUCGGAACGUGCCCAGUAGUGGGGGAUAGCCCGGCGAAAGCCGGAUUAAUACCGCAUACGACCUGAGGGUGAAAGCGGGGGACCGAACGGCCUCGCGCUAUUGGAGCGGCCGAUGUCGGAUUAGCUAGUUGGUGGGGUAAAGGCUUACCAAGGCGACGAUCCGUAGCUGGUCUGAGAGGACGACCAGCCACACUGGGACUGAGACACGGCCCAGACUCCUACGGGAGGCAGCAGUGGGGAAUUUUGGACAAUGGGGGCAACCCUGAUCCAGCCAUGCCGCGUGCGGGAAGAAGGCCUUAGGGUUGUAAACCGAUUUUGUUCGGGAAGAAAUCCUCUGGGCUAAUACCCCGGGGGGAUGACGGUACCGGAAGAAUAAGCACCGGCUAACUACGUG
rnacentral:rRNA from 1 species